AUACGGAGGGGGUUAGCGUUGUUCGGAAUUACUGGGCGUAAAGCGCACGUAGGCGGAUUGGAAAGUUGGGGGUGAAAUCCCAGGGCUCAACCCUGGAACUGCCUCCAAAACUAACAGUCUAGAGUUCGAGAGAGGUGAGUGGAAUUCCAAGUGUAGAGGUGAAAUUCGUAGAUAUUUGGAGGAACACCAGUGGCGAAGGCGGCUCACUGGCUCGAUUCUGACGCUGGGGUGCGAAAGCGUGGGGAGCAAACAGGAUUAGAAACCCUUGUAGUCC
rnacentral:rRNA from 1 species